AUUUCCAAUUACAAGACAAAGGAUGAAGCCAUUUUUAGCUUGUUGUCAUAUUGUUGUUUCCCAGGGAGAAUGAUGAUGUAUUGAUGGUAGCAAAAGUUGUAGCUCUUGUAAAAUAAGGAUCUGUGACAAAAACGGACAGUGACUGCAUCAUCACAAACACGACAGUCCAUGUGAAACUGGAUAAUAAUUGACUUUAAGGAUGUUCCACAUAAUAGAGUCGGUGUCACCUUUUGGCCAAACUACAAAAAUGAUGAAAGAGUCGACAGGGCAGUAAAGGAAAGCUGAGGAGCCUGGACCUGACUGGCAAAGCUACGAUGUCAGAGUUGUUAAGUCAUGUGAUCAUUACUUUGAGGCACGUCAUCUCUUAAAAAAAUCCCUGACGUGCAACACGUCAGAUUUACAGUCAGAAGAGGAAGAGGAGGAAGUUCAAUCAAAGAGAAGGCCAAAGCCGAUUCAUUUCUUUGGGGACUCCGAUGAUGACAGUGUGGAUGAAAGUCCUCUAUAAAAGAGAGCCAGAGGUCCAGCCAAACCCUCACCACAGCCACCAGCUCCUAUUAUCCCACCCCCACCAGCAGUAGAGCAAACCCCUUCUUCAAGCCAGGUCUACAGACCUACCUGGCUAGGGGGAAGGUGUGGAUCAGACACCAUGACCUGUUCGGAUGCCGUGAGAAAGAGUGCCGUCUCCCGUGCCGCCACUGAUGCUGACAUUUCAAAACACGCAAUACGGUGGUUCAACCUUGCCGCAGAUCGGGGGAGCUCGAGGAAGCGUGCCACUGUCGGCAUCCCUGCUGAGCCGACCGGUAUUUAACCCUCUGACUGUCUUUCAGAGGCUCUAGUAGGUUCAGGUUUAAGGCUAGAGUCAUGAGCUCCACAUCAACAACAGCCAAUCACAUUUGUUGCCUCCGUUGUUUUCAUACAGUUGAAUUUGCUGAUCCUCAUCAUCCUGUUAACCCUCUGAGACCCAACUUUACUGUCUUUCUGAGGCUGUAGCAGGUUCAGUUUUAGAGCUACAUAUAUCAUAUGAAACUAGAAAAACCUAAGGAAUCUAUUGGUACCAACCAUGUCAUGC